GACGAACGCUGGCGGCGUGCUUAACACAUGCAAGUCGAACGGAAAGGCCCUGCUUUUUUGGGGGUCUCGAGUGGCGAACGGGUGAGGUACCCGUGAGUAACCUGCCCUUGACUUUGGGAUAACUUCAGGAAACUGGUGCUAAUACCUGAUAGGUGCUCCUGCUGCAUGGGGGGGGUUGGAAAGUUUCGGCGGUUGGGGAUGGACUCGCGGCUUAUCAGCUUGUUGGUGGGGUAGUGGCUUACCAAGGCUUUGACGGGUAGCCGGCCUGAGAGGGUGACCGGCCACAUUGGGACUGAGAUACGGCCCAGACUCCUACGGGAGGCAGCAGUGGGGAAUAUUGCACAAUGGGCGGAAGCCUGAUGCAGCAACGCCGCGUGCGGGAUGACGGCCUUCGGGUUGUAAACCGCUUUCGCCUGUGACGAAGCGUGAGUGACGGUAAUGGGUAAAGAAGCACCGGCUAACUACGUG
rnacentral:rRNA from 1 species